GUUAAAAGGAGCCACUGACAAACAGUGAAUGUCUCUCGGCACUGCGUUGGGGCAUUCGGCUUGGUAUUUUGAUGCUGUCUGACCCGUGUCCAGCAUUUUCUAUUUUUAUUUCAGAUUUCGGGCACCUGCAGAUGUUUUGAUUUUGCUGCUUUCUCUGCCGGCCCGGCCCAAGGUGGACUCCAGCAUCUGCAGUCUCCUGUGUCUCCAUCUGCAGAAAGAGGGAAUGUUUUGGGUUUGAUACCCCUUUUAACUGUGAUCCAACAAGCAGAGGAUUGUUUAUGGGAAUCUCAAACACAAGAUCAGCGAAUAUACACUGGGGAGAGACCGUUCAUUUGCUCUGAGUGUGGGAAGGGAGUCACUCGGUCAUUCCAGUUGCUGAUGCAACAACAAAUUCACAGAGGAGAGGCCAUGUAUCUGCACUGAGUGUGGGAAGGGCUUC